rnacentral:Y_RNA from 1 species
GGCUGGUCUGAUGGUAGUGGUUUAUCAGAGCUUAUUAACCUAAGUGUCACUAAAGAUGGUAUAUAAUCCCCCACUGCUAAAUUUGACUGGCUUAAA